rnacentral:rRNA from 1 species
CGUGUAGGCGGCUGGAUAAGUCAGAUGUGAAAGCCCUGGGCUUAACCCAGGAAGUGCAUUUGAAACUGUUCAGCUUGAGUAGGGGAGAGGAAAGUGGAAUUCCUGGUGUAGAGGUGAAAUUCGUAGAUAUCAGGAGGAACACCGGUGGCGAAGGCGACUUUCUGGCCCUAUACUGACGCUGAGACGCGAGAGCGUGGGUAGCAAACAG